AGAGUUGAUCAUGGCUCAGGAUGAACGCUAGCUACAGGCCUAACACAUGCAAGUCGAGGGGCAGCAGAUCGAAAGCUUGCUUUGAUGCUGGCGACCGGCGAAUGGGUGAGUCACGCGUGUCCAACCUGCCCUGUGCCCGGGGAUAGCCCUUGGAAAUGAGGAUUAACACCCGAUAGGUGGCGCUUCCGCAUGGCGGCGCCAUGAAACCGACACAGGAUGGGGACGCGUCGGAUUAGCUUGACGGCGGGGCGACGGCCCACCGUGGCGACGAUCCGCAGGGGUUCUGAGAGGAAGGUCCCCCACACUGGCACUGAGACACGGGCCAGACUCCUACGGGAGGCAGCAGUGAGGAAUAUUGGUCAAUGGCCGAGAGGCUGAACCAGCCAAGUAAGCGUGCAGGACGACGGCCCUACGGGUUGUAAACUGCUUUUGCGGGAGGAUAAAGGACGCCACGUGUGGCGUUUUGCAGGUAUCCCGUGAAUAAGGACCGGCUAAUUCCGUGCCAGCCGCCGC
rnacentral:rRNA from 1 species